CGGGCCGAGCCCAGCUCAGCAGGGGCCUGUGGCUUGCGGGGGAGGGGGCGGGGGCUGGUGGGCGCGGCGGUCGGCCCUGCGGGCCGCGUACAAUAGCGCGACUGAGGCCGGGGAGGCGGCUUGGCCGCAGCACCGUAGAAGCCCCCCUCACGGUUCCCCCCCAGCCUCUCCUCUGCCUGUCUGUCGCCCCCUCCCCCCUCCCCCACCGUCCUACUCUCCCGCCGCUUUCCCUCAGACUCUCAUCCCCUCGUUCACGGAGCCCCGCGCUCUCGAGAGCCCCUCAAAGAACUCUCUGUCUCCCCACCUCCCCCCGCAGAGGCCACCGGAGCUCCACACAUCUCCGACCCUCGGAGCACGCACACCCCUCAGCCGCGUCGCCUAGCUCCCUCCGCCUCCCUCGCCUCCCCCCGACUCCCCCACGGUCGCUGACCGCCCCCCCGCCCGUCCCCGUCCGUCCCCGUCCUGAAGGACUCCCCGGCGCAAGCGGGCUGGGGAGGCGCCCAGCGAGCGGCGGCGGCGGCGGGAGGGAGAAAGUGAGGCGGCCCCCUCGCGCACUCUCUCGCGCGCUCGCUCCCCGGCUCGGCCGCCGCCACCCGGGUGGAGAAGGAGGAGGAGCCGAGUUGAGCCGAACUAGCGAGGAAGUAGCUGCUGGUGGUGGUGACAAUGUCAAAUAACGGCCUAGACAUUCAAGACAAACCCCCAGCCCCUCCGAUGAGAAAUACCAGCACUAUGAUUGGAGCUGGCAGCAAAGAUGCUGGAACCCUAAACCAUGGUUCCAAACCUCUGCCUCCAAACCCAGAGGAGAAGAAAAAGAAGGACCGAUUUUAUCGAAGCAUCUUACCUGGAGAUAAAACAAAUAAAAAGAAGGAAAAGGAACGGCCGGAGAUUUCUCUUCCUUCAGAUUUUGAGCACACAAUUCAUGUUGGUUUUGAUGCUGUCACAGGCGAGUUUACAGGGAUGCCAGAGCAGUGGGCCCGCUUGCUUCAGACAUCAAAUAUCACUAAGUCGGAGCAGAAGAAAAACCCACAGGCUGUUCUGGAUGUAUUGGAAUUUUAUAACUCGAAGAAGACCUCCAACAGCCAGAAGUACAUGAGCUUUACAGAUAAAUCAGCUGAGGAUUAUAAUUCUUCUAACACUUUGAAUGUGAAGACUGUGUCUGAGACCCCUGCAGUGCCACCAGUUUCAGAAGAUGAAGAUGAUGAUGAUGAUGCUACCCCACCUCCAGUGAUUGCUCCACGCCCAGAGCAUACAAAAUCUGUAUACACACGGUCCGUGAUUGAACCACUUCCUAUUACUCCAACUCGGGAUGUGGCUACAUCUCCCAUUUCACCUACUGAGAAUAAUACCACUCCACCAGAUGCUCUGACUCGGAAUACUGAGAAGCAGAAGAAGAAGCCUAAAAUGUCUGAUGAGGAGAUCUUGGAGAAAUUACGGAGCAUAGUGAGUGUGGGCGAUCCUAAGAAGAAAUACACACGGUUUGAGAAGAUUGGACAAGGUGCUUCGGGCACUGUGUACACUGCAAUGGAUGUGGCCACAGGACAGGAGGUGGCCAUUAAGCAGAUGAACCUUCAGCAGCAGCCAAAGAAAGAGCUGAUUAUUAAUGAGAUCCUGGUUAUGAGGGAAAACAAGAACCCAAAUAUUGUGAACUAUUUGGACAGUUACCUCGUGGGAGAUGAGCUGUGGGUUGUCAUGGAAUAUUUGGCUGGAGGUUCUUUGACGGAUGUGGUAACAGAAACCUGCAUGGAUGAAGGCCAGAUUGCAGCUGUGUGCCGUGAGUGCCUGCAGGCUUUGGAGUUUCUUCAUUCGAACCAAGUUAUUCAUAGAGACAUCAAGAGUGACAACAUCCUGUUGGGAAUGGAUGGCUCCGUCAAGCUAACUGAUUUUGGAUUCUGUGCCCAGAUCACCCCAGAGCAGAGCAAACGGAGCACCAUGGUGGGAACACCAUACUGGAUGGCACCAGAGGUUGUGACACGGAAGGCCUAUGGACCUAAGGUUGACAUUUGGUCCCUAGGCAUCAUGGCCAUUGAAAUGAUUGAAGGGGAGCCCCCAUACCUCAAUGAAAACCCUCUGAGAGCCUUGUACCUCAUCGCCACCAAUGGAACUCCGGAGCUUCAGAACCCAGAGAAGCUGUCAGCUAUCUUCCGAGACUUUCUGAACCGCUGUCUUGAAAUGGAUGUGGAAAAGAGAGGUUCAGCUAAAGAGCUGCUGCAGAGAAGGAUACUGAGGCCUCCCACUUGGGUGUUGGAUCAUGCUGCUUUCUCAGCUCAGAGGGGAGUUGUAUAAACAUGUGAUCUGAGAACACUGAAUCUUUAACUUGUUACUGUACAUUAUAUCCUUCAAUUUGGGGAUGAUGAUCUGAAGCUCUCCAAGCAACGCCUUGUGCAAACAUGGAUGCCCUUAACAUCUUGUGAUGGUUGCUGAGGAAGAUUGUGCUCUCAAGACUUUGAUCCUUGAAAACCAUGUGUCCAGCGUUGAAGAGAACUGCAAUUGACUAAUCGGAUGACGGCCAUUUUAAAAUAAGGAAUUUGCUCCCAAUCUGUGGAUAUGAGAGUGGUUUAUGAUCAAGGGCUUAUAUGAAUAAACCCUUGGACUCCUCUUUCUACAUAGAAGAAUUCUUUCCCCACCAAUCAGUUCUUGACUGUAUGAAUUUUUGGCUUCAUAACAUUAUCAAUUUGCAAUUGGUUGAUAUUUUUCUUUAGUGCUUGCUUUUCUGCUACCAAACUGCCCAAACACAUUAUUGUACUUGAAAAUUGGAAUAGAUUGAGGAAUGCUGUGGAGGUUGAUAUUCUGCCAGGGACAUGAAAUGGCUCUUCUUUCUGGACCAUGACUUUGGCACAGCUGAUCCUGACAUGGGAGGGAGAGAUCCCACAUUUUCCUUUGUGUUUGCUUCUAGCAGCUCUUUGGGAGGAUCUUGACCCAACAGUGUUCCCCAUGCUGUUUCUUGUGAAAUGGUCUUGGCUAUGUAGCAGCUUUUGACUCCCUAAAUCCCCCUAGGCUGCUGCCCCCAUUUUAGGCUUGUUUAGAACAUUGAGAGGUUUCCUAGGGCACAUGCUAGGUGAGAGCAGUGUGAGAAGUCAGGGAAAAAAAAAUUGGCUGCUUUUAGAACAAGGCUGUUCAUCAGCACCUGUCCAGCUAUACCUAUAUGUUUCAAGAACUCAGCCUCUUUUUCCAUCUGCAAUAAGGAGCUAAAAGAUUAACUCAGAUCUUCUGAUGGCCUGAAUCUUUGGGUCAAAGGGAAAGAUCUCCAAAUCUGAGACUACAUGUUAGUUUUGGAUGCAUUUGUUGGCCUGAGAUGACAGUCUGCCAGCUGUGAGGGGACCCUGUUUUUACAAUGCAUGGCCAAGCUCUCUGCAAAUGGAAAUGCUUGCACUGGGUGUUGGGGAUGUUUGCUACCUCCUGCUAUCUUUGUGGUUUUGGUCCUGCUGUUAUGGUAGGACCCCUGGCCAGCAUUGUGGCUUGUCAUGCAGCCCCAAUGGCUACCUUGUCAUGCUCUGAGGUACCACUGCCUCUGUAGCACGAGUUUUAUUUCCUUCAAUAAAAGGAGAUGAAAAUAUU